rnacentral:misc_RNA from 1 species
GUGUCAACUUCAUAAAGCUCGUUACACAGAUCCCUGGCUAGUUUAGCAUGAGCAGACUCCUGAGCAAACUGCAUAUUCAGUUGGGCUUCAGCUUCCUCCUCUUCUCGUCUUUUUUCCUCCUCAUUAACUUUUGGCAGAAGUUGUAUCCAUUUCUCCUCAAAUUUUUCCAGUAAUGUUUUCGCCAUCAGAUGAACAUCACUCUUGUCAUCAUUGUACUUCAUUGCAUUCUUGAACACCAGCCUAACAUCAGCACUGAUCUCU